AUUCAAAUUUUGUCUCCUUAGGUCCGGACUUACCGCACUCUACCAGAAAUAGCUGUCGAUAUUUUGUCACAAAAUUCUAAAUUGGAGAUCCAAAAGUUGAAUAAAUGUGCAAGACAGAAGGCAUCUUCAAGUUCUAAAACUUCUAGUAGUACGGACAAGGUCCAAGAACAUACAGCGCCAAAGAGGAAAAAGAAGAGUGUUAAUCCUGAUCACCCGAAACGACCAAAAGUGAAUGGGUAUUCUUAUUUUUGUGGUGAAAUGACCAAGGACUUGGUUAGUUCAGGCAUAAAAGGUGUGCCUCUGAUGCUGAAAUUGUCCACAAUGUGGAAAGAACUGUCAGAGAAGGAGAAAGCAAAGUAUAAUUUGAAAUGUGCUAAGCAAAAAGAAGCUUACGUGAAAGAAGUAAUGGAUACUCACAAGCACAUCCUGACGACAUGGAGAUAAAAAAAGAUCCUU